UUGAGUGGCGGACGGGUGAGUAACGCGUGGGUAACCUACCCUGUACAGGGGGAGUAACAGUCAGAAACGACUGCUAAUACCGCAUAAGACCACAGCACCGCAUGGUGCAGGGGUAAAAACUCCGGUGGUACAGGAUGGACCCGCGUCUGAUUAGCUGGUUGGUGAGGUAACGGCUCACCAAGGCGACGAUCAGUAGCCGGCUUGAGAGAGUGAACGGCCACAUUGGGACUGAGACACGGCCCAAACUCCUACGGGAGGCAGCAUG
rnacentral:rRNA from 1 species